UAGAUUGAGUUGUCCACGUAUGCUCACCUUCUUGGUAGGUACUACGGCAUCUCAGUAGUUGUACCUUCACCCACGGUCACUCCGCUGACGGUCAAGGGUCUGUUACCUGUGAAUACGUAUAUGUAAUGUAAUCCGCUAGGAUCCAUAUUAUAAGUCAAUUAUGUAUAUUUGAUUACUGAUGCCACUAUGAGUUGGCAAACGGGUGACAUUAUUUGGACAUAGUAAAAU
rnacentral:lncRNA from 1 species